rnacentral:lncRNA from 10 species
GCAUUUUGUAGGUGGGGCUUCUCCCAUGGAAGUCUCUGCGUCAGGGUGACCCGGAGGGCUGCUGUCCAUUAUCCUGGGCCCCUAAAGGCUAGAACACAGAAUUCUUUCCUCUGGAACAUUCAGUUUCUUGAAAAAGAGGUUGUGUGAUUGUUCGUCUGGAGGGAAUAUAUAUUGCUCCCAGGUGUUGGUGUUUCCACAGGGGCAUGUGAAGUGGGUGGAUUUGAACGUUGGUGGUGAGUCCACUUGUUCCAUAUGGACAUCUUCCAUAAUUUUCUAUUUCAGCUCGCAUUUCACUCCCACCAAGCAUUUCUGAAUCCCAAGUCUCUCUAAGUUUGUGCGAGACUUGCUGACAUCCUUCCCUGGUGUUACGCUGAGCACCUUACUCUUGGCUGGGACUUCUUCAGCCCACCCAGUAGCUACUCUUCUCCAGGUGCUCCUCAUCUUGCAGAGCUUUGCUGAAAUCUCUUGUGUGUGAUCUGCCUGCUAUUCCUUCUACCAUUGAAGGUUUAUGCCUUUUAAAUUAAUUUAGUAGCAUUUUAUGAGUUUGAGAUUGGGGAGAAGAUAAAUUUGUGGUGUUAUUCCAACAUUUUGAUCCAGAUGAGCACCAAAAAUGUGUAGAAGGAGGCACUGAAGCAGCUAGAGUAUGAGGUUAGAAAAGGAAAGGGCUUUCUAAUAAGGGCUGCUCUGGAACAUUUAUUUGGCCCUACUUCAUGGCUUCUGAGAAACACAAGGGAAGGAUCUGAAUUAUUUUGAAGUUGCUUUUUCUUUUCUUUUCUUUUUUUCUGUUUUUUCUUUUCUUUUCCUUCCCUUGCUUUUCUUCUUCUUUUUGCCCAGGCUGGAGUGCAGUGGCACGAUCUCGGCUCACUGCAACCUCUGCCUCUCAGGUUCAAGCGAAUCUCCUGCCUCAGCCUCCCCAGUAGCUGGGACUUAUAGGCGUGCGCCACCACUCCCAGCUAAUUUUUGUAUUUUUGGUAGAGCUGGGGUUUCCCUGUCUUGGCCAGGCUGGUCUCGAACUCUGGGCCUCCAGUGAUCUGCCUGCCUUGGCCUCCCAAAGUGCUGAUAUUAUAGGUGUGAGCCCCUGCGCCUGGCCUGAAGUUGCCUGUGACUAAAAGUCACAACUUUUAGUUGUGAGAUGCAUGUUUCUCUGACUGGACCACAUGGCUUCUUGAUACUUAAAUGAUCAACAAGUUAAUUUGGAAAAUAGAGCAGCUACUAUGCUUAAAAUAUGGGACAUGCUAAGAUAUUAGAUUCAGCCACCCUACUUUCUGACAUAUAUAUGAGGCUUUAAUCUUAUUAUCAAGCAAAAAAUAAAAACAAAAAACACAACCCCAAACAACAAUAACAAAGCAAGACAUCUGCAGAAUUGUGUUAUGCUCAAUUUGUGGGGGCCCUUGCAUAUGCCCUACAUUUUCUCAGAUGCCUUUUUCCUUGUAAGACUAAAAUAUAAAAUGAGUAUUUGUCCUUAUAAAUGGUACAAGUCUCACUUGCAAAAUGAUCUAACUUGUAUAUAUCCAGGGUCAUAAUACCUUGUAUCAGACAAGGGGUUAAGACGGGAACAAGUCAACCCUGUUGUCAGGGAAUGCGCGGUUUAGUGGAGGAGGUAGAGGAGGUGGACCAGCUAAGAGACAGUUACAAAAUGACGUGAUGCUUGCUGUUAUAGCGGAGUGUUCAGAUGAGUCAAGGAUUUAAUUAUCAUAGCUGACAAUGUACAUUUUUAUACAUGCUCACUUUGACAGUGCAUAUAUUAAAACUGAAGCAUUACAGAGACAAUUGGCUUGGUCCCUAAACCGAGAUGACUUAGAGACUCAUGAGACACUUACAUUUUUGUGAGAUAGCCUGUUGUCGUGGAAACAUGCCUCAGCCUCCCCAGUAGUUGGGAUUACUGGCACGUGCGUGCCACCACACUGGAUCCCAAAUGCCUAGGUUUGAUUCCCAUUCCUACUUUUUAUUUCUAUUCAGGAAGUUCCUUAACCCUCUCUACGACUCAGUUUCCUCAUUUGUAAAAGCAUGGGGUCCAGGAGCCAUGGCUCAUGCCUGUGAUCUUUGGGAGGCUGAGGCAGGAGAAUCGCUUGAACCCGUGGGGGCAGAGGUUGAUAUGAGCUGAGAUCACACUACUACUGCAUUCCAGUCUGGGAGACAGCGAGGCUCUGUCUCAAAAAAUAAUAAUAAUAAUAAUAAUAAUAAUAAUAAUAAUAAAAGAAGAGCACCAAAGAGCUAGCCCUUUUCUCUCCAUGCGAAGGCACUAAGGCUUUGUAGGGACAGAGCAAGAGGCAGCCAUUUGCGAGCCAGGAGGAGAUACUGAAUCAGCUGACCAGAUACCGAAUCAGC